CUGUUGUAUAUAAAGUCCCAGAGAUUGGAAAUCAUAAUAUGCUGAAAAUAAGUCUAAGGAGUUUGGGCAAUGAAGAUACAACUCCCAUCUCUCAGGAAUUUGGAGGUGGGGGACACGGAAAUGCAAGCUCUUUCAUGUUAAGCUCUGAGCAAUUUGAGCAAUGGAAGGUGUGAUUAGAAUUCCAAAGUGCUUCCCAUAUGGAGAGAACAGAGUUUACACCACAUUUUCUCUUUGCUACUUCAAUCUGGAACUUUCACUUUGCAAAGCUAAGUGAUUGUUGAGGUGGCUCUCUGCAUGUGCAAUUUUUGAAUCUCCAUUGAGUCUCGUUGUUGUUGUUUAUUACGUCCUAGUACCAACAAAACACAAAUAUUCCUAUUUAGUCCCAGCAUUAUGAGAUAGGUUGAUGAGUCAGUUGUAAAUUAAGCAUGUUGAUGUGUUAACGGUAAGUUUCACUGAAAAGUUUCUUUUGUGGACUAAAUUUAUUUUUAGACUUUGUUUAGAUGAACAAGAAUGGAAUAAAAGGUGAAGGAAAAGAAAAUCUAACUUAUA